GCGCCGGUGGUGUAGGGCGUAGCCCCGUUGCCCGGAAAGCAGAAGGUGCGGGUUCGAGUCCCGCCUGGCGCA
rnacentral:tRNA from 1 species